rnacentral:snRNA from 1 species
GUUGCUGCUCAGCUUUUUGGCUAAGAUCAAAGUUUAGUUUCUGUUUUUAUCGAAUUAACCUUCGAUAGAGUCUUAAAAUUCUUAUGGUGACUUUUAUCAGUCCAUUUUGCGUGUUCGGCUAGAUCAAACUCAACAGGAGAUGCACUUUUACAUAGUAUUGAACGUUAGACUAUAUCGGGUGUAAUUUCU